rnacentral:rRNA from 1 species
CACGCCGUAAACGAUGGAUACUAGGUGUAGGGGGUAUCGACCCCCCCUGUGCCGGAGUUAACGCAAUAAGUAUCCCGCCUGGGGAGUACGGCCGCAAGGCUGAAACUCAAAGGAAUUGACGGGGGCCCGCACAAGCAGCGGAGCAUGUGGUUUAAUUCGAAGCAACGCGAAGAACCUUACCAGGGCUUGACAUCCCGAUGACCGGUGCAGAGAUGCAUCUUUUCUUCGGAACAUUGGAGACAGGUGG